rnacentral:lncRNA from 1 species
AGAUAGUCACGGUAUAGAAUAUGUUGAAUUUCAAAUGUCGGAAACAACUAAAAUCAUAAAGGGGAUCAAACAGACGAUAACUUUGAAAAAAAUUCUCGUAUGUAUGCCAAACUCAAUGACAACUGUCCUAUUGAAUCAUUUCAGAAAUACAUGAGUUAAAGGUGUGCAAACAGUACUCAUUUCAUCCUGCAACCGCGGGAAAAAGUAAACAAGGAUGAUAUUGCUUGGUAUACAUCACGGCCUGUUGGAGAAAAAAAUUCUUAAUGACAUGAUGAAACAAAUAUCUACAGAAGC